UACGUAGGGGGCGAGCGUUGUCCGGAAUUAUUGGGCGUAAAGAGCGUGUAGGCGGUUCGGUAAGUCUGCCGUGAAAACCUGGGGCUCAACCCCGGGCGUGCGGUGGAUACUGCCGGGCUAGAGGGUGGUAGAGGCGAGUGGAAUUCCCGGUGUAGCGGUGAAAUGCGCAGAUAUCGGGGGGAACACCAGUAGCGAAGGCGGCUCGCUGGGCCAUUCCUGACGCUGAGACGCGAAAGCUAGGGGAGCGAACAGG
rnacentral:rRNA from 1 species